rnacentral:lncRNA from 1 species
CUUUGGGCAGCUCGCAGAGACGCAAGGAAGGAGAGGCAGCACCAGGAGGAAUUCAGCUGCUUGGGCAGUAUGAAAAGGGAAGUCAAAGGAGGCUUGAAGCGUGACACGGGGAGCAUAGGGGAGAGAGCUGCCCUUGGCAGCUGGUAGUGAGUACAGGCGCAGGAAAUGAGGGAGAGACCAGCAGAAAAAGGGGGAAAAGUUGCGGCUGGCAGCUUGAAGAAGAAGGGAAGGCUGCACCUUGCAGCGUGUCAAGUGCAGAACAGAGAACAAACAGCUGCCUUGGCAGCUUUGUUGAGAGCAGAACCCGCGCAGCACCGAGGUGGACAGAAGCUGCAAGCCUCUUCUCUCUCGGUUAAAUCUUUCCAACUUAUAUUUUACUUUUGGUUUAUUUGUGUUUUAAUAAUGUGUAACUAAUUUUAGUUUGGCUAGAGGUUAAUUCAAAGCCAUGAAUAUAUUUGUAAUAUGAAUUGAUUACCUUCAGUUGUGAUU